UUUGCAAAUUAUCAUGCCUCGAUAUUGUACCUCAAUAUACAAACGAUCUUUCGUUGUAAGAACAGCUAGGAAUUGGAAACUCUUCCCUAACGUUUACUUAUUUUUCCCUCUCUCUUCCAGUUUUUCCGAAAAAGGAUUUAGAUUUUGUGGGCUGGGGAGCUAUAAAUUACAAAUAUCAUAAUUACAAGUGUUAUUUUGAUUUAUUUUUGCAUAUAAUCAUCUGGAUUUAAGAAACAAGUGUAAACAUUUUUGCUUGUUAUUAAGAUAAAUUGGCCUUUUUGGUUCUGUAUAUUACAAGGAAUAAAUGAAAUGAAAUAAUAAUCUAUACUACCUUGGAGGCCUCCGCGGCACAGAA
rnacentral:sRNA from 1 species